rnacentral:rRNA from 1 species
CAGAGGUGGCAAGCGUCGUUCGGAAUUACUGGGCGUAAAGGGCGCGUAGGCGGCCUUCUAAGUCAGACGUGAAAUCCCCAGGCUUAACUUGGGAACUGCGUCUGAUACUGGAGGGCUCGAGUGCGGGAGAGGGAUGUGGAAUUCCAGGUGUAGCGGCGAAAUGCGUAGAUAUCUGGAGGAACACCGGUGGCGAAGGCGGCAUCCUGGACCGACACUGACGCUGAGGCGCGAAAGCUAGGGGAGCAAACGGGAUUAGAUACCCCGGUAGUCCUAGCCCUAAACGAUGAGUGCUUGGUGUGGCGGGUAUCGAUCCCUGCCGUGCCGAAGCUAACGCAUUAAGCACUCCGCCUGGGGAGUACGGUCGCAAGGCUG